rnacentral:rRNA from 1 species
GAUCAUGGCUCAGGAUGAACGCUGGCGGCGUGCUUAACACAUGCAAGUCGAACGAAACACCUUAUUUGAUUUUCUUCGGAACUGAAGAUUUGGUGAUUGAGUGGCGGACGGGUGAGUAACGCGUGGGUAACCUACCCUGUACAGGGGGAUAACAGUCAGAAAUGACUGCUAAUACCGCAUAAGACCACAGCACCGCAUGGUGCAGGGGUUAAAAACUCCGGUGGUACAGGAUGGACCCGCGUCUGAUUA